rnacentral:lncRNA from 1 species
AGACCACAAAAACAAUUUUUUAGUUCCUGAUGUCUUAGGUUUAUAGUUUUGAAACAUAAUUUUACUAAUGAAUUGUUAAGUCUAAGGAUUAUUUCUUGUUAAACCAGUAGACCAGAAAUAACUUUACUAUAUAUAAAGUAGAUUUAACAAUUGAAUAAGGGUUGCAAGUAUUUGUAAAUAAGGUAAAUAACUGUUUUCAAAGUUAGUAUGAAACUGUUGGGAAGAAGUUUCUAAAGCAAUAACUUUACAGAUUGGAGACCUGUUUUUUUUAAUAUUUUAAAGUUGUUGAUGGACCUUUAUUAUGUGGUGCUGAGAAUCGAACACAGUGCCUCAUGCAUGCCAGGCAAGCGUGCAACCACUGAGUCACAACCCCAGCCCUGAAACUAUUUAAAGGUAUGUAUCAUUUAUCUUACAUACUUAUUGUGUAAGGUGCUGUUAAUGAUGACUUAAAGUUGAAACAGAUGGGAAUCUCUCUGACAGAGAAUGAAGAUUAACGUUAAACUGAAACAGUAGUUGGAAAAUAUUUAGAAAUAUCUUUGUUAAAAACCUAUUGCUAAGUUAGACUAAAUUCCUGCAGGUACACAGACUCAGCUUGGGAAGCAGUGGCAAGAAGUUUUAAGCAAAGGUACAUCAGUCUCAAGAUUUUAAUUAAGGGGUGAACUAAGGCCUUGCAUAUACUAGGUGGGCACCUCAGGCCUCAAGCUGGAUAUAGACUAGAUGUUCUCAAAGCCGAUACAAUGAUGAUAACAUAGUUCAGCAGAUUUUCACUGAUGAGCAAUCAUGUCUUUCGCUCCUAUCUGAUGUAUCUGGCUCAACAAUCCAACUCAUUCUGUUAAAAAUGACCUUUUAUUGUCCCCAUACAAAAUUUUUAUGGACUUGGUACUACAAUGACUGUUUCAGAUCCUACCCUGUAUUUUCCAUUAAUGCCAGGAGUGAAGCUGGACAAGGUGUGUCUAUGAUCCUCCUAUCUACACUAUCCUGAGGGAUGACCAUCUCAUGAGCCCAGGAGAUAGUGGCCAGGAGAAGCAAUAAUGAGAACUCUUGAAUUCAUGAUUGGGGAGGUUAGUACCAAAACUUAGGAUAAUUUUAUUACAUACUCAAAAUUACUUAGCUUAACUAAAACAUAAAUACUUUUUAAAAAAUUACUUCACUUGCCCCAAAUGAGUGCUUAGCUAGCUAUUUUUUUAAAGAUGAAAAUAUGCCACUAAAAUGAAAGAGAGUAGGACCUUUACCAUUUACUUUGGGAUGCUGGGGAUUGAACCCUGGGCUUCAUGAAAGCUAAUCUAUGUUCUCCACCAUAAAGUACGAUAAAUUUCAAGUGUAUACUUGUUUUCUUUAACAGGUUUGCUGCAUCCUGAGAUCUAGGUAUGUCAAGAUUUAGUACAUAUAUUACAUAUUUUAGUAUGUAACCAGUGAUGUAAUGAUUCUGCCAAAUGAAUGUAAUGAUAUCACUUUCAAAACCGUUCCAUUUUUGAUUCUGAGGUUACUACACCUAAAAAGCAUCCUGUAACAUUUUUUUGCCAUGAUUAAUAUGGACUUUUCUGUUUUAGGGCUUUUGUGGCAGCUGCAGGGAUAUCACUUAAC